AACGCUGGCGGCGUGCCUAACACAUGCAAGUCGAACGGGGAUUUGUUUCGGCAGAAUCCUAGUGGCGAACGGGUGAGUAACGCGUAGGCAACCUGCCCUCCGGCCGGGGACAACACUCCGAAAGGGGUGCUAAUACCGGAUACGAAGUCUGUGCCGCAUGGUACGGAUUUGAAAGAUGGCCUCUGUUUACAAGCUAUCGCCGGGGGAUGGGCCUGCGUCCGAUUAGCUGGUUGGUGGGGUAACGGCCUACCAAGGCGACGAUCGGUAGCCGGUCUGAGAGGAUGAACGGCCACAUUGGGACUGAGACACGGCCCAGACUCCUACGGGAGGCAGCAGUGGGGAAUCUUCCGCAAUGGGCGCAAGCCUGACGGAGCAACGCCGCCGUGAGUGAGGAAGUUCUUCGGAACGUAAAGCUCUGUUGUUCCUGACGAACCUCCCCUCUAUCAACAACGGAGGGGACUAACGGUAGGGAACGAGGAAGCCACGGCUAACUACGUGCCAGCCGCAGC
rnacentral:rRNA from 1 species